GGCACCGAGUGUCAAACGUUCCCUAGUCGGGUUCAGGAGGGCUGGGAGCAGUCGGGGCUAAUUUCCGCUCAGUGGUGCCCGUUCAUAUUAAGUAGCCUCAACUUUUCUCCGUCGACAGUCGCCGCCAUGUCCAACAAUAACGCAAGCAACAACUUAAUCAUCGCUCAGAGGGCCGUGAAGCAGCUCCGGCUAGAGGCCAGUAUCCGGAGAAUCAAGGUGUCCCAGGCUGCUGCUGAGCUGAGAAACUUCUGUCUGCAAAAUGCCUCAAAGGACCCUCUCCUGGUCGGGGUCCCCUCCAGUGAUAAUCCUUUCAGACCCCCCAAGUCCUGUUCCUUGUUCUGAGUGCAACCGGGAUGUGAACAAAGGGUCCUUUAUUCGAAAUGAUGCAACUUGAUUCAGCUCAGGAGUCAUUUUGAAUUCAUGGAUUCAAGAUUCAAGAUUCAAGAUUCAAGAAAGCUUUAUUACCAACAGAGAGAACCACAGAGGACUUCUGAAUUUACCCGUCCAAGGCUUUCUCCACUCCUACUUGAUGUCGCUGUGGAUCGACCCGCUGCUCCUCUUGGGAAAUUGCAACAUGGGACUGAUGGGUUCGGGGGAGGGAACUUUUCCACUUGUUUGCCAAACUAAUGGUAUAAUGACUCCCAUCUGUUACAUUAAUGCAGGGCCAAACUCUACAUAUUAGAAAUUAUUACAACACUAAUUUGACUAAUGAUUAAGCCUCUCUUGGUUUACCCUCUACUUUAAAUGUCCAGCCUCAGUUUACUGCUUUGACGAUGUCUGUGCCCUGGCAGUAAAAUUCAGCUCUUGUGAUUGGCUGCGAAAAGCACAACUUCCUCUUGUGUUGUGUCACAAACAGAGAAACAAUCAAACGUUAAUUUGAGUCAGGUGCUGUUAAAGAAUAGAAACAUACUGUAUUUUAUAUGAAGUGUGUUUCAUAUUGUGGCCAACAAACAUGCUGUUAGCUUUUGAGCUAAGCUGAUGAGUGUCCUUAACUGUUCAUGUAUUAAUGUUUUUCAUGUAUUACUACUACUCAGCGGUGCAACAACCGGUACAAACUAUCAGUGCAGGCAUGUGAUUGCAUUUUAUCCUGUCUUUUUCUGUACAUAUUUAACGGCCUCUGAAGGUUGCUUUUAAUUGUCUUCAUGUCCUUGUCUUUAAUGUCUAGCCUUAAACUAUUCUGGUGGUGAAACCUGUCAGCAAAUAUUUAACAUUAUGGAAACAUAAAGGCCAAACAGCCAAUGUUCACAUAUCAAUUAAAAAUUCCAAAUAUUGUUAGAUGUUAUGAAUGAUGUUGCAGUAAUUGUUGCAUUUAUCAUGUCCACACUGAAAUCAUAUUCCAAUCAACCAAAACUUUUACUACUGCAAACCUGAAUCUUUCUUACCUUUGCUACUUUGGGUAACCUUUUAAAAACUAAAUAAAUUCCUUUUUUGGACACUGGUAAA